UUCCUAUCUGUUGAAAACAGUUAAUACUUAAGAAUUCCUGACCGUGAAAGAUGCUAGAAGCAAAGUCUUUUCACUCUGCCAUGUAAUGCUGGAAUCUUCAGUAAACAACAGUGAAAUGUUAA